rnacentral:tRNA from 1 species
GGAGCCGUGGCUGAGUGGUCUAAAGCAGCGCGUUGCUAAUGCGUCAGGGUUUAAAAGCCCUCGUGAGUUCGAAUCUCACCGGCUCCG